rnacentral:rRNA from 1 species
UACGAAGGGGGCUAGCGUUGUUCGGAAUUACUGGGCGUAAAGCGCGUGUAGGUGGAAUGGUGAGCAAGAGGUGAAAUCCCAGAGCUCAACUUUGGAAUUGCCUUUUGAACUAUCAUUCUGGAGUAUUGGAGGGGAGUGCGGAAUUCCUAAUGUAGAGGUGAAAUUCGUAGAUAUUAGGAGGACCACCGGUGGCGAAGGCGGCACUCUGGACAAUAACUGACACUGCGACGCGAAAGCGUGGGGAGCAAACAGG